rnacentral:snRNA from 1 species
AUACUUACCUGGCAGGGGUGAUUCCAUGAUCACGAAGGUGUUUUCCCCAGGGCGAGGCUUAUCCGUUGCACUCUGCAUAGGCUGACCCCUGCGAUUUCCCCUAAUGCGGGAAACUUGACUGCAUAAUUUGUGGUAGUGGGGGACUGCGUUCGCGCUCUCCCCUG